UUUCUGAAAAGAUUUGCUGAAUUUGAGGUUAGUUUUAUUAUUUGUGCACCACCUCUCAGUUUUAGUGGAAUUUUUUAAGAAGUAGAAAAAUAUAAUCUAUAGAUUUCUGGCCCAGGAAACUAACCAAGGAUUUUUCUCGCAUUCAAAUGAUUUCAGUUUUUUAGUGAAUCUAGCAUUUAAAAAUAAAACAAAUGAUGCCGCCGCAGAACUGAUGCCAAACAGAGGCUUCAGUAAUAAUCACUAUGAAGGCUGUAACCUUUCAUGCUUUUGACAUUUCAAAAGUUGUGACUGUAAGUUUUAGAAUAAUGAAACAAAUUCUAAAUUAUUAACCUAUUGUAUUACAAAUAUGGAAUAACACAUUUCAUAUCGUAGCAUAAUAAUUUUUACAUUAUGAAUGUCCAGAUCAGGGCAAUAAAGCCAUUCCCAUGCAUUUUAGCAGAACUAUCCAAAAGAUGUCAGGUUUUUGGAUGAGAACAACUUGGCAGGGGCUCAUGCAGAAUAUAAAGUCUCAGCUUUAUUCUUGGUGACUGCUGUAUUUCUGCAAAUUUUCUGUUAAAAACAAGAAACUGAAACUUUCUCUAACCUUAACAUUUUUUUUUGAUCUUGUGGAAAUAGAGUACAUUUAUCAUCCAUAUCAUGUAUGUUGAUAAUUGCUUAAACAUGAAAUAAGAGAAAAUAGGGCUGCUACUCACCGUUAAUAACAUGUUAAUGGUAUCCCUACCUUCUAUAUGAACUCUGCACAGGACGUUUAGUCUUAAUAUAGCUCUUCCAGCACAGUUCUUCUGACAUUAUCCUUUCACUAAAUGCUCACCUAGGUAAUUGUAUCCUAUUGAUGAAAGAAAACAAUGGAUAUUCAAUUUCCUUUUUAUCUAGUAAAAGCCACAUUGAGUGAAUCUGCUUAUUAAGUAAAUAGCAAAUAAAUUAAAUGCUGUAAUAAAUGUCUCCAUCUGAAUACACUACAGAGAGGAAGAAAUGAAAUUAUAUAUACAGGUUUAAAAUGAGUUUAAGAUAAAUAUAAAAAUAUUCUAUCCUGAAACAACAUUACAUAAGUGAAAUUCAGAUGGCUCUUAGGGAUGGGUUUCAAAGUAUGUACAAUUUUCAUUACUACAGAAAACUUUAGCUAUUAGUUCAGCAGAACAUUGACACCUUUCUGCUAGUUUGAAUAGUAGCUCUGUGAGCCAUUUCUGUAUUUUACUAAGUAACUAGAAGACCACAAUGAACUAUCACAUCAAUUUUCCUGCUUUUAUCUAUAUAGUGUCGGAGCAUUGGCUGCUCCUCUUCCCUUUGACUUCAUAACAUUGUGGUUCCCCAGGAUGCCCUCAUUGGACUUCUUUCUUCUCUCUACACACAACAAACUUUCUAUCAUCGCUUAAUUAUUAAUCAAGAAUCUGGUAGCUAUUCAAUGUGUGCACGCACAACCCACACACACACACACACACACACACACACACACGUUCUUGAAGCCCAGACUCAGUUACAUAAAAUAAUUCCACUGUCAACCAAAUCAUGAAAAGAUGAAAUAUAUUUCCCUUAAAAGAAAACUACAUUUAAUAAAUAAAAGCACACAACCCACAGGAGGAGGCAGAGCUAUGUGGUUUUCAUUUUGAAAAGUCUGUACUGUUCCCUCCAAAAGCAAUGAUCUGCAGGUACGGGCUAAGCUCUCCCUUGGUGCUUCCCUGGUGUCGGCCAAGGAAUGGUGGGUGGCCUCUGUCUCAUCCAGAACCUCAUUCUGCCCUCCUUCCUCCCACCAGGUCAGAGCUCCUCCUUCUCCGCCCCCAACUCAACUCCUCAGGGACUCAUCUACUGCUUCCCAAACUCAAGCCCAAGGAAAGGCGUAUAGUGAUUUCCUUCUUGCUCUACAUUCGUACAUUAUUUCUGGUUCUAUUUUUAUGUCAUAAGUGUGUGCUUGUCUUUCCUCAAG
rnacentral:lncRNA from 1 species